CCCAACCUACUCCAAUUUGAUUCUUUUCACAUAUUUAGACAUAAUAUAGUACUAUGAAAUGUUUCUGACCUAAAAUUUUACGAAAUAUGAUUGUUUACAUUAAAAUGUAAAAGUUGAUGUUACAGUGUGAUAAGGUGAAAAAAGUGACAUUUUAUGUCUAGAAAGUCACUUUACAUCAAAAGUGCAAUAACAAAACUAGUUCCCAUUCAUUCUGUGUCCCCUUACACACUUGUGCUCUUUAUCCGCUCAAAACGCUAUACAGCGAACGAGAAGGCGCUAGGAGCAAAGGAAAGUGGUUUUUCUAACAAACUCAUAUAAUCAGUUGCCCGACCUACUCCAAUUUGAUUCUUUUCACAUAGUUAGACAUAAUAUAGUACUAUGAAAUGUUUCUGACCUAAAAUAUUACGAAAUAUGAUUGUUUACAUUAAAAUGCAAAAGUUGAUGAAAAAGUAUGAUAAGGUGAAAAAAGUGACAUUUUAUGUCUAGAAAGUCACUUUUCAUCAAAAGUACAAUAACAAAACUAGUUCCCAUUCAUUCUGUGUCCCCUUACACACUUGUGCUCUUUAUCCGCUCAAAACGCUAUACAGCGAACGAGAAGGCGCUAGGAGCAAAGGAAAGUGGUUUUUCUAACAAACUCAUAUAAUCAGUUGCCCGACCUACUCCAAUUUGAUUUUUUUCACAUAGUUAGACAUAAUAUAGUACUAUGAAAUGUUUCUGACCUAAAAUAUUACGAAAUAUGAUUGUUUACAUUAAAAUGUAAAAGUUGAUGUUACAGUGUGAUAAGGUGAAAAAAGUGACAUUUUAUGUCUAGAAAGUCACUUUACAUCAAAAGUGCAAUAACAAAACUAGUUCCCAUUCAUUCUGUGUCCCCUUACACACUUGUGCUCUUUAUCCGCUCAAAACGCUAUACAGCGAACGAGAAGGCGCUAGGAGCAAAGGAAAGUGGUUUUUCUAACAAACUCAUAUAAUCAGUUGCCCGACCUACUCCAAUUUGAUUCUUUUCACAUAUUUAGACAUAGUAUAGUACUAUGAAAUGUUUCUGACCUAAAAUAUUACGAAAUAUGAUUGUUUACAUUAAAAUGUAAAAGUUGAUGUUACAGUGUGAUAAGGUGAAAAAAGUGACAUUUUAUGUCUAGAAAGUGACUUUUCAUCAAAAGUACAAUAACAAAACUAGUUCCCAUUCAUUCUGUGUCCCCUUACACACUUGUGCUCUUUAUCCGCUCAAAACGCUAUACAGCGAACGAGAAGGCGCUAGGAGCAAAGGAAAGUGGUUUUUCUAACAAACUCAUAUAAUCAGUUGCCCGACCUACUCCAAUUUGAUUUUUUCACAUAGUUAGACAUAAUAUAGUACUAUGAAAUGUUUCUGACCUAAAAUAUUACGAAAUAUGAUUGUUUACAUUAAAAUGUAAAAGUUGAUGUUACAGUGUGAUAAGGUGAAAAAAGUGACAUUUUAUGUCUAGAAAGUCACUUUACAUCAAAAGUGCAAUAACAAAACUAGUUCCCAUUCAUUCUGUGUCCCCUUACACACUUGUGCUCUUUAUCCGCUCAAAACGC
ensembl:lncRNA